CAAUAGCGUAUAUUAAAGUUGUUGCAGUUAAAAAGCUCGUAGUUGGAUUUCUGGUGGGAGCGAUCGGUCUGGCGCUUAGCGCGAGUACUUGCAUCGUCUCCGGCCAUCCUUGGGGAGAGUCUGUCUGGCAUUAGGUUGUCGGGCAGAGGAUCCUCAUCGUUUACUGUGAAAAAAUUAGAGUGUUCAAAGCAGGCUUAUGCCGUUGAAUAUAUUAGCAUGGAAUGAUAAGAUAGGACUUUGGUACUAUUUUGUUGGUUUGCGCACCAAAGUAAUGAUUAAUAGGGACAGUUGGGGGUAUUCGUAUUCCGUUGUCAGAGGUGAAAUUCUUGGAUUUACGGAAGACGAACUACUGCGAAAGCAUUUACCAAGGAUGUUUUCAUUAA
rnacentral:rRNA from 1 species